rnacentral:rRNA from 1 species
GAUGAACGCUGGCGGCGUGCCUAAUACAUGCAAGUCGAGCGUACAGACGAGGAGCUUGCUCCUCUGACGUUAGCGGCGGACGGGUGAGUAACACGUGGAUAACCUACCUAUAAGACUGGGAUAACUUCGGGAAACCGGAGCUAAUACCGGAUAAUAUAUUGAACCGCAUGGUUCAAUAGUGAAAGACGGUUUUGCUGUCACUUAUAGAUGGAUCCGCGCCGCAUUAGCUAGUUGGUAAGGUAACGGCUUACCAAGGCAACGAUGCGUAGCCGACCUGAGAGGGUGAUCGGCCACACUGGAACUGAGACACGGUCCAGACUCCUACGGGAGGCAGCAGUAGGGAAUCUUCCGCAAUGGGCGAAAGCCUGACGGAGCAACGCCGCGUGAGUGAUGAAGGUCUUCGGAUCGUAAAACUCUGUUAUUAGGGAAGAACAAAUGUGUAAGUAACUAUGCACGUCUUGACGGUACUUAAUCAGAAAGCCACGGCUAACUACGUG